rnacentral:misc_RNA from 1 species
AAAUUAAUAAUUAGUAAAUUAUAUAUCAAGAGAGAACUUUCCAAAACAAGUCUCAAAAGAAAAAUAUAAACUUGAAAUUUCGGUUUUCUAACACUUUUAAAGGUGGAAUAAAACCAAUUAAGACAUGAUUAGUAUUAUCCUUUAUACUUUGAUUAAAUAGAGAGACAUUGAAUCUUUUUGUUAUAAUUUAGACUAUAGUUUUAGAAAAAAAAUUCAGUAUCAUUAAUCAAAACUCAAUGCCAUAAACAUUGAAUUAUUAAUUCAAUAGAUCACCUUGCAAUUUCUCUUUUAAGUAUUUUUCCAAUAAAGACAAAUUUUUUUUUUCUCUUAUGAUAUUAAGUUGAAUAUUAUGUUGGUUUUCCCUUAAAAAAUUGGCACUUGGUUGGCUGAGAUCAUGAAUACAUUGUCUAUGUCAAUGACAAUAUGAAGGAUCCAAAAAUUAUGUUCGUAAUCCAAGAUAAUAAACUAGUAAAUCAGAAUUAAACACUCAUAAAGAAUUUGUCACACCCAAGUUCUACUAAACAUGAAUAAUAUAACCUAAAAUCAAAAUUUGAAUAUUUCUUCUAUAAAUUAAUUAAUUGAACACAUAAUAAUAAUAAUAAUAAUA